CAGCAUGAUGCUGCCACCACAAUGCUUCACUAGCUCCAUCUUUGAAACGAGCUGCUGGACCUUACCUUCUUCCUGGAAAACACUCGCCUGCCUGCCUGAACCUAAACUGCAUCAGAAGGACAAGAAACACAAAGAGCACCCAGCCAAACUUCACUUGUUCCUGCCAACCUUAGAUCCCGGCAGGUAUUCGGUACCUUCCUGAACUUCAUUCUUAAGCUUCAAAUAAGAAAACAAUUAGAUAUAAUCUACUCAUUCUUUUAUUCUCAUCAAGAAUCUUUAUUGUCACCAUGGGUUACCGUAAUAAAGCCAUCAGCUCAGAAUGCACACAGAUUACACAUUGACAACACAAUUCCUGGGAAGCUCAAACUGUGCAAAUACUUCUCAGCGUCAAAUAAGACUCACGUUCUAGUCAAAAGACUUUUAUAAACCAUGUAGAUUACUGUGCAGUUACAUAACUGUAUCACAUAAACGUUCAGUUGAUUGAUACACUGAUGCACACAGUAAAAACACUGUGCAAUUAAUUUAAAUUUACAAGUUACAGAACUGCGCAAUUUGCAUGGUGGUCCAACCAAACGUUCCCUGAGAAACUGAAGUGUGCAAAAAAACAUUAGAAUGUGGGAGACAGUGUAAAUAAUUCUCAUUGGAUCCAGAACUUGUGGAACCAGUAGUGUGUUUGUGAACAUGUAACCGAGCAGGGGGCGAUAGCCUUCACAGCUUUGGGAAAUAAGCUGCUUUAAGUGUUUCUUGUUUCUUCUAUUAGUCAUCUCAACAUAUAAAAUGCAAUUUAGUCCUACCAAGCACCAAUCCUCCAAAACACCGAGGAGAAAGAUCACAAUCUCUUGUGAAAUGAAACACUGUGUAUUUGUGGUCGAUUGAACGCCAGAGUCAAGCAGGCAGUCAUGACAUGAAAAUCCUCUUUCUAUUCAUCCAUGAUGGAGAAGUUUCCACGCAGGAAAAACAGCCUCUGGCCAAACUGUUGGGAUCUUGAAAUGACUGCCAGUGAAAAGCAUGGAGGGGUACUCUGUCCCAUCACUUCUGUCUCCCAUCAACUGAUAGGAUGGCAUUUAAUGUCCUUUAAAAACAAAUUCAAAGCAUA